rnacentral:rRNA from 1 species
GCCUGCCCUGUGACAAUGUUUAACGGCCGCGGUAUUUUGACCGUGCGAAGGUAGCGUAAUCACUUGUCUUUUAAAUGAAGACCUGUAUGAAAGGCAUCACGAGAGUUUAACUGUCUCUAUUUUCUAAUCAAUGAAAUUGAUCUUCUCGUGCAGAAGCGAGAAUAUUACCAUUAGACGAGAAGACCCUAUGGAGCUUCAAACACUUAAAUUAAUUAUGUAAAAUUAUAACCCCCAGGGGAAAAAUCAUUCAUAUAAUAUUCCUAAUUUAACUGUUUUUGGUUGGGGUGACCGAGGGGGAAAGAAAAUCCCCCUUAUCGACUGAGUACUAAGUACUUAAAAAUUAGAACGACAGUUCUGAUUAAUAAAACAUUUACCGAAAAAUGACCCAGAUUUUUCUGAUCAAUGAACCAAGUUACCCUAGGGAUAACAGCGCAAUCCUUUCCCAGAGUCCCUAUCGCCGAAAGGGUUUACGACCUCGAUGUUGGAUCAGGACAUCCUAAUGGUGCAACCGCUAUUAAGGGU